GGCUCGGUAUCGGUCGGAGGGUGGAUGGAGGCCAUGUGUUUUCUAUUUAUCAAACUUUAAUCCCCAACUGGAAUCAAACUUCCCCAAAAGAAGACUUCAAAACAUAACCUCUGCAUUAGGAGCAGAUUGGAACCUUGUUCCUACCAAGAUCAAUGACAAUAAAAAACAGUCAUCAAUUCCAGAAGAAAAGAAACAUUGGAAGCAAAUCUCCUGUGACAGUAUCAUACCCUAAGAACUUAGGAUUCCUCUUCAAAAGACGAGAGAAGGGAGGGGAGAAGAGGAGAAAAGACAGUAGUAGUUUCUCACUUGUGAAAGUAGAAUAAUGUGAAGAACAACAGGAAGUUCAGAAAAAACAAAACUUACAUAACAAUUGACUGUAACGACAAUUUAAAGUAUCAAGCCAGAAACAGGCUUCAAAGGAUCACAAAAAUUACUUAAAAUACUCCAGAUUUAACACUGACUUGUAAUUCUUUCACUGGCUUUUAAAUUGAAUAAACCUGAGAUUCAAA